AGUUAUGCACCUUACAAGAUCGCGCAUGGCUUGGUUUAUAUGUCUCUGUCCAGACAUCAUGUUUUCUAGCUCUUUAAUUAUUUUUCCCAGUUUGCAAAAAAUAUUGACGAUACGUUUUGGAUUCACUGUCAUUUGAGGAAAUUUAGAAUUUUAUUUAUAUUAUACAAAUUUGCGGUGGAAAAGGGGUGCAGGUUUAGUAUCCAAUUAUAUGGUCCAGUCUCCCGCUAAGUUUCUAACAUCAUUUUAUUGCUGCCGCUGUAGAAAGCUAAGAGAUAAGCGAGUAUUUCAAGAGCUCACAGAAACACUACUACUUCACUCUAACACUUAAACUAAGCCUUUUGGUGCGAGGUGUAAAGAUGUGACAUGUGGUACGCUUUGAAGCAGACCUGGUUACAUACCCAUGUUAUGCGUCACUGGACCAUAUGAAAAGUUGUGCAUUGUUCUACCUAAUUUUAAUCAUAGAUCUUAACUCAUUCGUUGAAUUUUUUUCAGAAAAUGAGACACGUUAUUUUCAUACAUUUUUAUUUCGUGGAUUUAGAUAAGUAUACAAUAUACAUAUUUUGUAUAUUAUUAUGGAAAAUUGUAUAACUGUCCCCUAGAAAAUAUGAUAACAUUUCAAAACUAGAGGCGAAAUUAAACGAUAUGAAUCGAGAAUGUUAA